CCAUCACAGAACACUGUUGGAAGAAUUUGAUUGUCAAUAAACAUAAAAUUGUAGCUAGAAUCUUCAGGACCUGAAAUGGAUUGCCAUGAACUGAGAGAAAUAGACUUGCCAUACUUUACAGCAACAGGAUAAUCAAUCAACAAGACCCUCCAGCUCUAACAUAUAAUGAUAAGAAGCUAAAAAUAAUCUAGAAUGCAGAAGGCUUAUCCCAUGGUUGCCCAGGCAGAGAGGAUAUAGUAUUCUCCAAGGAGUGGAAGAAAGGGUAUGAAAUCUGGUGUCUUCAUUUCUUUUAUUUACUGGAGAAAUAAGCUAUAGCAUUAAGCUAAUGAUAACUUUUUUUACAUGUCUCAGGUCACACCGACCAUGAGAUCACUUGAUUUACAAGACUUCAUGCAUAAAACUGAAUGGAAUCCAAAUGCUAAGGGGACUCCUGACCAAUAUUCAGUUGUCUUUUUUUCCUCUGAGAAGGCUUUAAUGUCACUUGGGGAACACCAAAGGGAGCUAAUCCAGGCCAUAUGA
rnacentral:lncRNA from 1 species